AAACUCUGAUGCAGCCAUGCCGCGUGUAGGAAGAAAGCCCUAUGGGUGGUAAACUACUUUUAUACAGGAAAAAACACUGGUACGUGUACCAGCUUGACGGGACUGUAAGAAUAAAGACCGGCUAACUCCGUGCCAGCAGCCGCGGUAAUACGGAGGGUGCGAGCGUUAUCCGGAUUCAUUGGGUUUAAAGGGUCCGCAGGCGGAACAUUAAGUCAAAGGUGAAAGCCUACAGCUCAACUGUAGAACUGCCCUUGAUACUGGAAUACUUGAGUUUUAUUGAAGUAGGCGGAAUGUGUUUUGUUGCGGUGAAAUGCAUAGAUAUUACAUAGAACACCAAUUGCGAAGGCAGGGCACUAAACUUUUACUGACGCUGAUGGACGAAAGCGUGGGGAGCGAACAGGAUUAGAUACCCUGGUCGUCCACGCCGUAAACGAUGAGAACUAGAUGUUGGGGAUGUACUGUUUGUCUUUUAGAGAAAGAGAUAAAUGAUCCACCUGG
rnacentral:rRNA from 1 species